UACGUAGGGGGCAAGCGUUAUCCGGAUUUACUGGGUGUAAAGGGAGCGCAGACGGAACAGCAAGUCUGAUGUGAAAUCCCGGGGCUCACCCCCGGGACUGCAUUGGAAACUACUGUUCUGGAGUACUGGAGGGGUAAGCGGAAUUCCUGGUGUAGCGGUGAAAUGCGUAGAUAUCAGGAGGAACACCGGUGGCGAAGGCGGCUUACUGGACAGUAACUGACGUUGAGGCUCGAAAGCGUGGGGAGCAAAC
rnacentral:rRNA from 1 species